AGUGAACGCUGGCGGUAGGCCUAACACAUGCAAGUCGAACGGCAGCACAGUAAGAGCUUGCUCUUACGGGUGGCGAGUGGCGGACGGGUGAGGAAUACAUCGGAAUCUACUUUUUCGUGGGGGAUAACGUAGGGAAACUUACGCUAAUACCGCAUACGACCUACGGGUUAAAGCAGGGGAUCUUCGGACCUUGCGCGAUUGUAUGAGCCGAUGUCGGAUUAGCUAGUUGGCUGGGUAAAGGCCCACCAAGGCGACGAUCCGUAGCUGGUCUGAGAGGAUGAUCAGCCACACUGGAACUGAGACACGGUCCAGACUCCUACGGGAGGCAGCAGUGGGGAAUAUUGGACAAUGGGCGAAAGCCUGAUCCAGCCAUACCGCGUGGGUGAAGAAGGCCUUCGGGUUGUAAAGCCCUUUUGUUGGGAAAGAAAAGCAGCAGGUUAAUACCCCGCUGUUCUGACGGUACCCAAAGAAUAAGCACCGGCUAACUUCGUG
rnacentral:rRNA from 1 species